rnacentral:rRNA from 1 species
UACGAAGGGGGCUAGCGUUGCUCGGAAUUACUGGGCGUAAAGCGCACGUAGGCGGCUCUUUAAGUCAGAGGUGAAAUCCUGGAGCUCAACUCCAGAACUGCCUUUGAUACUGGGGAUCUUGAGUUCGGGAGAGGUGAGUGGAACUGCGAGUGUAGAGGUGAAAUUCGUAGAUAUUCGCAAGAACACCAGUGGCGAAGGCGGCUCACUGGCCCGAUACUGACGCUGAGGCACGAAAGCGUGGGGAGCAAACAGG